CACACUGGUAUAUAAAAAGAUAAAAAAAUAAAAUUACAGCAGUUAUUUUUCUUUAUUAUAUUUUCUAUUCUUCUCUCUUGUGAAUAACUUCAUCAUCACCCAAGGCAAAAUCAAUAACCGCGUUCUCUGGAUAAAAGAGUUACGGCCGAAUUUUGUUUACAAUGAACCAAACAAUGAAAUUAAACAUUUACGGUCUAAAAUAAUUUCGCCCCUCUCUACUUUUGUAUGAGAUACAUAACAAAUUUUGUUGCCAUUGUUGUUCAAAUGAGGGUGAAAAAUAUUGGUGGCAAUUUCACAAACACUUGGUGGGCAAUUUCACAACCCACUCUCUACAAGCAUCAAAUGGAGAGCCAAGCACAAGAGCAAUAACAAAUUAAACCAAAUCACAAGAACACAAGGAUUUACGUGGUUCGGCUAUACCUACAUCCACGGGAGAACAAUGCAAAGAAGCUUCCACUAUAAAUUUGGAGAUUACAAGAGAGAUUCAAAUGGGAGAAAUAUCACCUUAACUCCAAGGUAUAAAAGAGAGCUCCAACAAUCUCUAGCUCUACCCAAAUGGUGUAAACCACACCUCACAAGGAAGAUCUCACCUCCUUCUUGAUAGAACUAAGAUCAAAACCAAGCUCUAGGGUUUUCUCUCUUUUCUCCCACUCCUUUCUCACUCUCUACUUCUCUCUCUAUUUUUCUCUCUCUAUUCUAAUAUCCUACUUUAGCUCCCUAAGAGAAGAGGCUAACAAUAUGGGCCUUUGGAUCAAAAGAACCAUGAUCCAAAAGCUUACAAAUAGGGGCCCACAUACAUGAUAAGAAAAUAUAGAAAGAGGAGAUUUUGACUUCACCAAAUUACAUAGCCCAAAUAGCAAGGCCCAAAUAACAAAUAGGCCCAAUAUAAUUAGCUCAACAAUCUCCCACUUGAAGGCAAAUCUCCAUCCUUCAAAUAAGUAAUCUCCAUCCAUCAAAUGAGCUUCAUCACAAUGCAUUGUUCUCCAACCACUCCAUCUACGUCUCGAUCAAUCCGGAGUGCUUCCUACAAAAUAUGAGUUUUUCCGUAGGAACAACCUUUGUCAACAUAUCCGCAAGGUUUUUCUUUGUAUCGAUCUUCUCCACAUCCAAGUGUUGACGAUCUAAUGCCAUCCGAAUAAAAUGAAAGCGAACAUCGAUAUGCUUAGUUCGGGAGUGAUACGCCGCAUUCUUUGCAAGAUGAAUUGCACUUUGAUUAUCACAAUGCACAACAUAUUUAUUUUGCUUCACUCCAAAUUGUGCAAGCAAUCGCUUUAACCAAAUCAUUUCCUUCGCCGCCUCGGUCAAGGCAACAUAUUCGGCUUCCGUAGAGGACAAAGCAACGAUGUCUUGCAACCUAGACAUCCAACUAACCGCACUACCUCCAAAUGUAAAAACAUAUCCCGUAGUGGACUUUCUUGUCUCUCUACAACCGGCAUGAUCGGAAUCAACAUAUCCAUUCACCUCCAAAGAAGUUCCACCAAAACACAAACAAACAUUUUGUGUGCCCUUCAAAUAUCGAAGAAUCCAUUUAAUGGCUUGCCAAUGCUCCCAUCCCGGAUUAGACAUAUAUCUUGAAACAACUCCAACCGCAUAAGCUAUAUCCGGUCUUGUACAAACCAUAGCAUACAUCAAACUUCCAACGGCGGAAUUAUAAGGAACAUUCUUCAUUUUAUCUCUUUCGACCUCAUUCUUUGGAGAGUUUUUCUUGGAUAACUUGAAAUGUCCGGCUAAUGGAGUAGAAACCGGCUUACAAUCAUUCAUCUCAAACCUUUCAAGAACUUUAGAAAUAUAGCCCGAUUGACUAAGCCACAACUUGCCAUGCUCCCUAUCCCUUUUAAUUUGCAUGCCCAAAAUUUUCUUUGCUUCACCAAGAUCCUUAGUAGCAAACUUCUUUGACAUAUCAAGCUUCAACUUUGUAAUAUCAUUUUGAUCAUUACUAGCAAUCAACAUGUCAUCCACAUAUAGUAACAAAAUAGUGAAAGAAUCAUAUGUUGAGCCUUUAAAAUAAACACAAUGAUCAAAAUCACAUCUUUUGUAACCUUCAUCUUGCAUAAAAGAAUCAAACUUCUUAUACCAUUGUCUAGAUGCUUGCUUUAAACCAUACAAUCCUUUCUUUAGUUUACAUACUAAAUUAGGAUUAGCUUCUACAAAGCCUUCGGGUUGAAACAUAUAAAUUUCUUCAUCCAAAUCACCAUGCAAGAAAGCGGUUUUAAUAUCAAGUUGCUCAAGCUCAAGAUCCAAAUUAGCAACCAAGGAUAAAACAACUCUAAUUGAGCAAUGCUUAACAACGGGAGCAAAUAUUUCAUUGAAGUCAAUACCUUGCUUUUGUCCAUAGCCCUUGACAACAAGCCUUGCCUUAUAUCUCUUGGAUCCAUCGGCUUCAUUCUUGAUCACAUAAACCCAUCGAUUUUUCAAUGCUUUCUUUCCGACCGGAAGCUCCACCAACUCCCAAUAUGGUUUUGAUGUAAGAAAUCCAUCUCAUCCUCCAUUGCCCUUUGCCACUUUGCUUUUUCGGGACAAUCUUUUGCUUCGUGAAAACACUCGGGCUCACCCGAAUCAGUAAAUAAAGCAUAAUAUAAAGAAGGAGAAUAUCUUUGGGUGGGUUUAUGUAGCCUAAUCGAUCUUCUCAACUCAUGUGCCGGCGGGGUAGACAUAUCGUCCUCGCUCUCAUGAGAAUCAUGCCGACUUUCACUAGAGUGUGUACUCUCUUCAUGAUCAACAUUAUCAUCAUGACCAACAUCAUCAUGUACACUUUGAGAAGAACUAUCAACUUGUACAUCAACAACAAGUUUAUCUUUCUUUUGCUCUUCUUCCGUACCUUCUUUAAACAUUACAUCCUCUCUAAACACAACAUCCCGGCUCCGAAUAGUUUUCCUAAUAACGGGAUCCCAAAGUCUAUAGCCCAACUCAUCACCUCCAUAGUCAAGAAAUACACAUUUCCUUGACUUCACAUCAAGCUUUGUUCUACUUUCCUUCGGAAUAUGAACAUAAGCUUCACACCCAAAUAUUCUCAAGUGUGCAUAGGAAAUGUCUUUGCCACUCCAUAUGAUUUCCGGAAUGUCUCCUUCUAAUGCAACACUAGGUGAUCUAUUAAUCAAGUAAACGGCCGUAUUUGCCGCUUCGGCCCGAAAAGACUUUGAUAGGCCGGAGUGAGACAACAUACUUCGAAUCCGUUCCACAAUUGUUCGGUUCAUUUUUUCAAUGAUCCCAUUUUGUUGCGGGGUGUAGGGAACCGUCUUCACUCUUUUGAUGCCAUUUUUCAAACAAAAAUCAUUAAAGGCACUAGAGCAAAAUUCACGACCAUUGUCGGUUUGCAAGCACUUAAUCAAAUGGUCACUUUCCUUUUCAACACGGGCUUUGAAUUUCUUAAAAGAUUCAAAAACUUGAUCUUUUGAAGCCAAGGGAUAAAUCCAACACUUUCUAGAAUAAUCAUCUAAGAAAGUAACAAAGUAGUAUGCACCUCCAAGUGACUUUAUAUUGAAAGGACCGCAAACAUCGGAAUAAACCAAUUCCAAUUGCUUGUCCUUUCUAUGCAUCUCAUUUCUUUUAAAGUUAACUCUAUGUUGUUUUCCCAUAAUGCAAUGUUCACAAAAAUCAAGAAAUGAAUGCUCAAAGGAAGGAAUAAGUUUAUGUUCUUGUAAUACCUUCAUACCAUGCUCACUUAGAUGACCAAGCCGAUUAUGCCAAACUUGCAUAUUUUCGCCUUUGCUUGCGGUAGUAACCAUCAAAUUUGAAUCAUCACCCUUUUGAGCGGUUCCAUGAAGUGUAUAGAGACUUCCAUCCUUUUGCCCUUUCAAAAUAGUCAUACUACCCCUUGAUAUCUUCCAAGAGCCCUUUCCGAAAGUGAUAACAAAACCGGAAUCAUCCAAUUGUCCCGCCGAUAUUAAGUUCUUUGUGAUCUCCGGAACAUGACGCACAUUUGUCAAUGUAUGCUUUUGACCAUUUGUUUGCCUUAUGACAAUGUCACCCAUGCCAAUAAUUUUACAUGCCCGAUCAUUACCAAGAUAAACAAAUUCACCAUCUACUCCUUUGUAUGUAGAAAAAUAUGAUCGAUCCGGACAUAUAUGAAAAGAAGCACCGGAAUCCAAAACCCAAGUGUUUGCACAAGAAGAGACCGUGCAAGCAACACUUAAUGUGACUCCACUUUCACCAUCCGAAGCGUUGUUAGCUUCAUUCUUGACAUCCUUCCCUUUACCUUUUUGCUUAUUUUUCAAAGCAUAACAAUCCUUUCUCACAUGACCCGUCUUCUUGCAAUACCAACAAGUAAGCUUUCUACCUUGUGAUUUUGAUCUUCCUUUACUUUGAGAUCUUCCCUUUGUGUUGGAAUAUUGGCCUCGCUUCGGUGACCUUCCUCUUUCAUCAAUAGUUAGUGCUUGACUCAAAUCACUAGACAAUUGAUUUGUGGCUUUGCGAGUUUCCUCAUUCAACAAUGAAGCAACAAUAUCAUUCAACUUGAAUUUGUUCCCCAUUGUGUUCGCCACCAUAGUAACAAGAGUAUCCCAACUUGAAGGUAAAGAACUCAAAAGUAGUAAACAAAGGACUUCUUCAUCAAGGUUAAUUUUGAGAGACUUCAAUUGUGCCGCAAUAGAGUUAAACUCACUCACAUGCUUACGAAUAGUAGAACCUUCUUGCAUCUUCAAGAGAAAGAGUCUCUUCAUUGCAUGCAUCUUGUUCACACCGGAAGGUUGCUCAAAUGAUUGCUCCAAAGUCUCCCACAAUUCGGAUGCGGUCUUGCAUUGAUAGACAUCAAAUAAAAUCGAUGAUGAAAUGCAUGGUCUAAUUGCCGCCAAACAUUUUCGGUCAAGUAUAUCCCAUUCAUGAUUAUCCAUACUAGUGGGCUUUGCACCUUUUCCUAAUAUUGGUAAAUCAAGCUCUUUUGCAACCAAAUAAUCCUCUAUCAUGAUUUUCCAUAUAGGCCAAUUGCUCUCAUUCAACUUCUCAAAUUCCAUAGCUUUCUCCAUUUGAAAGAUGAGUGAAUAAACACAAAUGAAUGCUUAGAUAACCACCAAUCAAGCUCUGAUACCAAUUGUUGUCAAAUGAGGGUGAAAAAUAUUGGUGGCAAUUUCACAAACACUUGGUGGGCAAUUUCACAACCCACUCUCUACAAGCAUCAAAUGGAGAGCCAAGCACAAGAGCAAUAACAAAUUAAACCAAACCACAAGAACACAAGGAUUUACGUGGUUCGGCUAUGCCUACAUCCACGGGAGAACAAUGCAAAAGAAGCUUCCACUAUAAAUUUGGAGAUUACAAGAGAGAUUCAAAUGGGAGAAAUAUCACCUUAACUCCAAGGUAUAAAAGAGAGCUCCAACAAUCUCUAGCUCUACCCAAAUGGUGUAAACCACACCUCACAAGGAAGAUCUCACCUCCUUCUUGAUAGAACUAAGAUCAAAACCAAGCUCUAGGGUUUUCUCUCUUUUCUCCCACUCCUUUCUCACUCUCUACUUCUCUCUCUAUUUUUCUCUCUUUUCUAAUAUCGCACUUUAGCUCCCUAAGGGAAGAGGCUAACAAUAUGGGCCUUUGGAUCAAAAGAACCAUAAUCCAAAAGCUUACAAAUAGGGGCCCACAUACAUGAUAAGAAAAUAUAGAAAGAGGAGAUUUUGACUUCACCAAAUUAUAUAGCCCAAAUAGCAAGGCCUAAAUAAUAAAUAGGCCCAAUAUAAUUAGCUCAACAGCCAUUAACCUC
rnacentral:lncRNA from 1 species